rnacentral:rRNA from 1 species
GUCAGCAGCCGCGGUAACACCGGCAGCUCUAGUGGUAGCAAUUUUAUGGGCCUAAAGCGUCCGUAGCCGGUUUAAUAAGUCUCUGGUGAAAUCCUGCAGCUUAACUGUGGGAAUUGCUGGAGAUACUAUUAGACUGAGACCGGGAGAGGUUAGAGGUACUCCCAGGGUAGAGGUGAAAUUCUGUAAUCCUGGGAGGACCGCCUGUUGCGAAGGCGUCUAACUGGAACGGUUCUGACGGUGAGGGACGAAAGUUAGGGGCGCGAACCGGAUUAGAUACCCGGGUAGUCCUAACUGUAAACGAUGCGGACUUGGUGUUGGGGUGGCUUUGAGCUGCUUCAGUGCCGAAGGGAAGCUGUUAAGUCCGCCGCCUGGGAAGUACGGUCGCAAGACUGAAACUUAAAGGACUUGGCGGGGGAGCACCACAACGCGUGGAGCCUGCGGUUUAAUUGGAUUCAACGCCGGACAUCUCACCAGAGGCGACAGCUGUAUGAUAGCCAGGUUGAUGACUUUGCUUGACUAGCUGAGGGGAGGUGCAUGG